rnacentral:rRNA from 1 species
UACGUAGGGGGCUAGCGUUGUCCGGAAUCAUUGGGCGUAAAGCGCGUGUAGGCGGUCCGGUAAGUCCGCUGUGAAAGUCGGGGGCUCAACCCUCGAAUGCCGGUGGAUACUGUCGGGCUAGAGUGCGGAAGAGGCGAGUGGAAUUCCUGGUGUAGCGGUGAAAUGCGCAGAUAUCAGGAGGAACACCAAUUGCGAAGGCAGCUCGCUGGGACGUAACUGACGCUGAGACGCGAAAGCGUGGGGGAGCAAACAGG